UUUUUUCUUUUCUUUUUUUUGUUAUCCUCUUCUUCAUCUUCUUCUUCUCCUCCUCCUCCUACUCUUCUCUUCUUUUCUUCUUCUCCUCCUCAUCUUCUUCUUAUUAUUAUUCUUCUUCCUCUUCUUCCUUUUUUUCCUUUAUCAUCUUCUACUACUUAAUUAUUCUUCUUUUCUUCCUUUUCUGCACUAAGCUAAUUAACCUAAACUAACAAUAACCUAUUUAACAC
rnacentral:lncRNA from 1 species